rnacentral:rRNA from 1 species
UACGAAGGUCCAAGCGUUAUCCGGAUUUAUUGGGUUUAAAGGGUGGCGUAGGCGGGUUAUUAAGUCAGUGGUGAAAAGCUCCAUGCCUAACAUGGAAAUUUGCCAUUGAUACUGAUGAUCUUGAGUACAUUUGAAGUGGGCGGAAUGUGUCAUGUAGUGGUGAAAUACUUAGAUAUGACACAGAACACCGAUUGCGUAGGCAGCUCACUAAACUGUAACUGACGCUAGGCACGAAAAGCGGUGGGGGAGCAAAACAGG